UACGAAGGGGGCUAGCGUUGCUCGGAAUCACUGGGCGUAAAGGGUGCGUAGGCGGGUCUUUAAGUCAGGGGUGAAAUCCUGGAGCUCAACUCCAGAACUGCCUUUGAUACUGAAGAUCUUGAGUUCGGGAGAGGUGAGUGGAACUGCGAGUGUAGAGGUGAAAUUCGUAGAUAUUCGCAAGAACACCAGUGGCGAAGGCGGCUUACUGGUCCGGAACUGACGCUGAGACGCGAAAGCGUGGGGAGCAAACAGG
rnacentral:rRNA from 1 species